rnacentral:lncRNA from 1 species
UUUGGGGAUUUCUUUAGGCGUUUGUAAUUUAGCGGUAUGUUCAGAAAUAGCCAUACUAUUGUGUGAACAUUACACAGCUUGGGUUGCAAUACUAUAACUUAAGGCUCUACGUCUAUCGCAUAAAAUAUAUAGAUUGAAGGAAAAAUACGACCAUGUCAAAUUUGUAAAAUAGUAAUUUAACUUUUUUAAACUAGACAUAUA